CAGGGAAUAGUUUAAGAAGAAUUUCAGCUUUGG
rnacentral:tRNA from 1 species